rfam:Erinaceus europaeus unplaced genomic scaffold scaffold00546, whole genome shotgun sequence
GCUUGUGAGGGUGAUCUGGCUGCAACAUUUGUCACUUACACUGAUCUUCAGGGUUGAUUCAGCUGAUCUGGCUGGUUAGGCGGUUGACCCCUUCCUCCCUCACAGCUCCAUGUGAGUCCCUCCCAAAGUUGUGCGCUAGGUUAAGAGAACAGCUUUCCCAAAUAGAGAUGGACCAGUCUUUGGUCUAGGGUAUAGGAGUAGCUGUACUCUCCUGCUAGAAUGUCCAAACUAGCUCUCAAGGUCCAUUUGUAGAACUUAGGGUAGUCAAGUUUCCAAGACUCCAGACACAUCCAAAUACUAAAUGAGGCACUGCAUGUGGCAGUCUGCCAAAA